UACGUAGGGUGCGAGCGUUGUCCGGAAUUAUUGGGCGUAAAGGGCUCGUAGGCGGUUUGUCGCGUCGGGAGUGAAAACCUCGGGCUUAACUCGGGGCUUGCUUUCGAUACGGGCAGACUGGAGGUAUGCAGGGGAGAACGGAAUUCCUGGUGUAGCGGUGAAAUGCGCAGAUAUCAGGAGGAACACUAGUGGCGAAGGCGAGACUCUGGACAGUUCCUGACGCUGAGGCACGAAGGCCAGGGGAGCAAACGGG
rnacentral:rRNA from 1 species